AACGUAGGAGACAAACGUUAUCCGGAGUUACUGGGCGUAAAGGGCGUGUAGGUGGUUUCGUAAGUCUGGCGUGAAAUUUCCCGGCUUAACCGGGAGUGGUCGUUGGAUACUGCGGGACUAGAGGACGGUAGAGGCGUGUGGAAUUCCGGGUGUAGUGGUGAAAUGCGUAGAGAUCCGGAGGAACACCAGUGGCGAAGGCGACACGCUGGGCCGUACCUGACACUGAUGCGCGACAGCAUGGGGAGCAAACAGG
rnacentral:rRNA from 1 species